rnacentral:rRNA from 1 species
UACGGGGGGGCAAGCGUUGUUCGGAAUUCCUGGGCGUAAAGGGCUCGUAGGUGGCCAACUAAGUCAGACGUGAAAUCCCCAGGCUUAACCUGGGAACUGCGUCUGAUACUGGAAGGCUUGAGGAUGGGAGAGGGAUGUAGAAUUCCAGGUGUAGCGGUGAAAUGCGUAGAUAUCUGGAGGAAUACCGGUGGCGAAGGCGGCAUCCUGGACCAUUUCUGACGCUGAGGCGCGAAAGCUAGGGGAGCAAACGGG